rnacentral:rRNA from 1 species
AACGGCCGCGGUAUCCUAACCGUGCAAAGGUAGCAUAAUCACUUGCCUAUUAAUUGUAGGCUAGAAUGAAUGGGUUAACGAAAUAAAGACUGUCUCAAUUAAUCACCUAAAAAUUACUAUCUAUCUGAAGAAGAGUAGAUAAUCUCGAAGGACAAGAAGACCCUAUAGAGCUUAAUUUUAAUUAUAGAGCUACGCUAUAAAAAUAUUCGGUUGGGGCGACCCAGGGCUAAUAAAUCACCCACUACAUAAAAGAUAAAUUAAUCAAAUAACUGACCCCUAAAAGAUCAUAAGAACAAGCUACCUUAGGGAUAACAGGCUAAUCCCACUCAAGAGUCCUUAUCAACAGUGGGGUUUGGCACCUCGAUGUUGGCUUAGG